CUUGAAUCUUCAUCAAUCAACGCAGAUUUUCCAACAAUCACCGAAGAAAAGAACGUUCGCCGGAAUAAUUAGGGUUCCGGUACGUCGUUUCAGGAUCCGUUGUGACAGCUAAAAAUAGCAAAACAAAUCCGACAAUAAAAAUGACCACAGCUAAAAAGGUUCGU